CUGUCCGCUCGGUCUCAGGCACUGUGCUGCGCUGGCGCCAGCAUGAAGAGCAGAGCCACUCGUGGUCGCGAGACCCACGGAACUCGCUGCAGAGCAGGCAAAGCACUGGCUGAUGGACCG
rnacentral:SRP_RNA from 10 species